GAUGAACGCUAGCUACAGGCUUAACACAUGCAAGUCGAGGGGUAACAAGAGGAAAGCUUGCUUUCCUUGUUGACGACCGGCGCACGGGAGAGUAACGCGUAUCGAACCUGCCUAUAACUAGGGAAUAACCUUGCGAAAGUAAGACUAAUACCCUAUGAUUUCCGUUGAUGACAUCAGAUAAGGGAUAAAGAUUUAUCGGUUAUAGCUGGGGAUGCGUCUGAUUAGCUUGUUGGCGGGGUAACGGCCCACCAAGGCAACGAUCAGUAGGGGGUCUGAGAGGAAGGUCCCCCACAUGGGAGCUGGGACACGGACGAAACGCCUACGGGAGGCAGCAGUGAGGAAUAUUGGGCAAUGGGGGGAAGUCUGGACCAGCCAAGUAGAGGCCAAGAUGACGGCGCUAUGGGUUGUAAACUGCUUUUAUGAAGGAAAAAAGUUAUCCUCGUGUGGUUAUUUGUCGGUACUGUACGAAGAAGUACCGGCUAAUUCCGUGCCAGCCGCCGCCGUAAGAC
rnacentral:rRNA from 1 species